CAAACAAACAAGAACUCACUAACAGUCGACAACUCACCUGGAUUGUGGAGUUACCAAUUUUGUGGACUUACCUCUCCAGUCACAACUUUGCAAACUUUUGGAUUAUCACUACUUGGACAUUUGUACAUACACUGGUGGACACUCACAUUGGGACUUUAUCAGCACACUAGGAUUCUUGGACUGUUUUAGGGUAUGGUACUUGGGACUGUAUGCUUUUAACAGACUGAGUUUUUCUGGUUUUAUUGUGUUGGUUUAAAGUUCCUGUGAAUAUUGUAAAUACACAAUUCUUAUUUAAACUUA